rnacentral:lncRNA from 1 species
GCUGACCUUGAGCUGGUCAGUCUGGUGCCAGCGUCCACAACAAAGAGGGUGCUGCGCAGCUGCUGCAGCCUGCGGAGGCGCCCCACGGUUUUCAGAACGAGGGAAUCCCAUCAAGGGGUUGAUCUUACCGUCUCAGUGUUGUUCAGAGCCAGGACUCAGUGGGUCGGUCCCCAAGCUCAUCCUCACAGCUGUGUCACUACCGUCCAUGCGUUUCCUGUGGGACUGCAGCUUCCUGGUCAGCCACUGACCACCCCACACAUACCUCUGAGAGUUCAAGGUGAGAUACGGAGGUGCAGGCUGGGAAGGGCUGAGCCCUGCUCCCUGGACCCUCCCACUGUGGCUGGGCUUGCUCUCCAGUUGCUUGCUGCAGUCGGGGGCUCUUUGUGCUGAUUUUGGUUCUGGUGCUGGGGAGCAAGCCUGGGGGCGCUUCACCCCGAGCCACACUCUCAGUCCUUUCAUUUUCAAACAGGGUCUCACUAAAGUGCUGAGAAUCUUGCUAAGUUGUCCAGGUUGGCCUUGAACUGGCUCCUCAGCCUCAGCCUCCCGAGUGGCUGGGAUCACAGGUGUGUGUGACCACACCAACUUAGCUGACUUUUAAAGUCACCAACAUUGGAGGUCAGGCAGCUGCAGUGUGUAUCCCACCCAGUAGUGCUGCUGUAGAUGACACCUCUGUCCCCAGUCAUGUGGGUCGUGAUGAUAAUGGUUGCCUAGGCUGCUUUUCAGGGACUUGAAGGCUGCUUUUGUUGAUCACUCACUCUUGCCUUAGGACUGCCCAGGUGUCAGAUGGCUGAACUUUGACAUCAAGGGUCCAAAAGUCCACCCCCAGAGCAGGGUGAUGCUGCCAUUUUCUGCACAUGUAUUGUGCACAGACGCCAGUGACUUCACCUGCACUUGCCCUCCGGGCCCCACCGACUUCCCUGCCCCUUUGCCCCUCACCUGGGGAGCUGGACUCAGCCCUUCUCUUCCGUCUCUCAUGCUGACUGCCCAGGGAGUGGGAUUCUCUUUUGGAGGCUUGUCAUCAGGGUGAUUGUGCAGUGGGCAGAGUGGUGGUCAGAUGUGACCUGCUGGUGUGGAAGGGGGUCUGUCUCAGCUCGAGGUGGCCAGCGAGCGAGCGUGCUGGACGCCGGGGCUUCCUCUCCUGAAAUCUCCACAGCUUCCCUCCUUUCCUAGGGCGAGUUUACCUUUUUCUUAUCGAUUCACAGCAUUCUGCCUAUAAUUGGGAUGCACUGAUCUUUCUGUCAAUCUUAUGGUUAUAAAAUUCCUCAUUUCUGGCUUGCAUUUUCCCUUUUUCGUAUCUUGUGAUGCACAGACUUCUUUCAUUUUAAUGAAAGUGACUUUAAGGAUUUUUCUGUUAUGUUUUUCAUGUCCAUAUCUUGCUAGCAAAUCCUUUCUUGCUUCCAGUCAUAGAAUCAGUCUCUUGCAUUUCUCUUCUGAAAGUCGUCGUUCAGUGUUUUCGCCUCUGAAUCAGAGGCACGGCACGUGGAGGUGUGUCCAGCUUUACCGCAGCGUUUCCUGCCUGAGAAGUACCUUGGCCAGGGCGCCUGAUGGAGCAGCCCACCACCUCCUCCCCGUGCUGUGAGGAGCCCUCCCGGAGCACGUGUUGGGGGCUGACUGGGUCAUCGUCCACUUGUCUGUCUGCACAAAAUCACACUCUCCUGAUGACUGGGGCUUCGGAAGACAUUCCUUGGGCCUGACGAGGCUCAGUGGUAGAGCCCCUGCCAACAGGCACGAGGCCCUGGUUCCAUCCUCAUGGCCGAGAAUGAAAUCUGGUAGGGCAAGCCCCCACCUUUUGUUCUUCAAAAUUUUCUUGGUUACUCUUGAACUGUAUUCUUUCAAAUAGAUUUUAGAAUAAGGCGUACAUUUAAUUUUUUAUUUUUUUACUAGGGUUUGAACCUGGGGGCACUUAACCACUGAGUCACAUCCCCAUUUCUUUUUAUUUAUUUACUAUUUUUUUUAGUGUGGUGAGAAAGCAGGGAAAAGAGACAGAUAGGAGGGGAUUUUUUUAGUUGUAGAUGGACACAAUAUCUUUAUUUUUUUUAUGUGGUGCUGAGGAUCGAACUCAGUGCCUCGCCUGUGCGAGGCAGGCGCUCUACCACUGAGCCGCAGCCCCGCCCCUUUUCAUUGAGUUACAGGGUCUUGCUGAGUUGCUGAGGGCCUCCCUAAUUGCUGGGGCUGGGCUUGGACUUCAGUCCUUCUGCCACAGCCUCCUGAGUUGCUGGGGUUACACACGUGCGCCCUGGUGUCUGGCUAAGUGGUUUUUGUUUUUGUUUUGUUUUGUUUUUAAAUGUUGGAACUUCAGCUGGAAUCAAGAGAUGAUUUAACUGGGGCGGUUGCCUUUUUACAAUGUCGCCCCUGGUGGGGGGCUGUCCUGGGGUUCCUUCCACGUAGGUCUUCUCGUGCCUUCCGGGGAAGUCGCCAUUCUUCUGUGCAGAUCCUAUACAUCCUUUGUGCAGAAGUACCCAGCCACGGCUCCGAACUGUGGGGUUUAAUGAGUGUCUGUUAAAUCAAGUUGCUACUUUUAUUUGUGGAAUCUUAUGUCUUUACUUGUUGGUUGUUUUCCUCCUGCUGUAAUCUAUCACUAAGAAGGGACAUUAAAUCUCCUGGUGAGUCCUUCUCCUUGAAGUCCCAUCCAUUUUUACUGUAUCUUGCUAGGCACAUGUGAAUGUGCAGCCGUCUGUUCUCUUGAUGAGGUCUUCAUUUCUAGUAAUGCUUUUGGCUCUAAGCCUAUUCGACCUAAAGUCAAUCUGGUUCUGUGUGACGUUCCUGUCUGGUCUAUAGAGUGUCCUUCCUUCCUCUGAGGCCACCCAUGCCCUCAGGUUUGGUCUCUCAGCUCCCUUGGAAGGGAGCUGGCCAAUUUUGGUUUGGACCCAGUAAGACAGUAAAGACCUUUAACCCUGGAGCGUCCCCACCCACGUCCACCUCCGUCACCGAGUCCUCGGGUUCUCUCACUGGCCCAUUUCUGUAUUUUCUUCUUGCCUAUUUUCCCUUCUUAGUCUUCUCUCCCCAUUUUCCCAGCGGUCAGGGCGUUGUGCGCGCUGUCUCUCCUCUGAGUGGCCACCCUCCCCGGCCUCUCCCAGGAAGCUCCACAUGCCCUCCCCUUCGGCCAGGGGUCAGUUUACUUAGGCCCCUGUUGGCUCCUGGGCCCCGUUAGGCUCCCUCUGGGUGACUUUCUUGACUUGGCCUCCCUCACAGGUCCUUUGCCGGGGGUCGUGGGUUUUACUUGCCCUGGUUUAAACAGUUUGGCUGUGGCAAUGGCCACCAGCUGCCACCACUUUCUCUCAGCACUUUGAGGACACUUGCCGUUUCCUGUCUCCCAUUGCACUUGCUACAAAGCACACAGAGGCAAGAAGAAAAUACAGAAAUGGACCCGAGAGAGAAACCCGAGGACUCAGCGACGGUUCCCGGUUCUGAGAAUGCAGCUUUUAUCAAGCACAGGACCUGUUUCCCCCCGUAACUCCAGUCAGAUGCAUGUCACAGCGGCGGCCUGUCCCGUGCCUUACUCUGUGUCUUUGUGUUCUCCGGCCUCCGGUCUCUUCCCAUCCUCGUGCCGUCUGCAGCUUCUCUCGGCAGCUGUGUGCUCCCUGUUCCAGCGGCUGAGUCUGAACGCUCAUUUCCUGUUGUCGUUCCCAGGUGUCUCCUCUUUCCUUCCGGACAGGCUCAGCAUCCCCAACCUGGACAUCAAAAUCUGAAGCAUGCUCCCAAAUCUGAAAUGCUUUGAGCACCAAGUGGAACACUUCCCCGGGGCCUCAUGUGACAGUCACAGUGAAAACACGGGCACACUAAGAACCUGUGCAGAGUCACCUUCGGACGAUGCUUAGGUGGCUCGUGUACAGGGAGCAUGGCUUCAUGUUUAGAGGUGGGUCCAGCCCAGAGAUGUUUAAGCUACUGUCACCACUGCAUGUCCCCAGCGAGCUACAGCCAUUCCCUCCUGCCACAAGCGGCCCCUCCCUUGGAUGUUGGAGGCACCCUGGCUUUGUUUCAACGCAGCGGAAGCCGCGCCUUCUUUCCCCGAUCCUCAGCUUCUGCUCCACAGAACGAAGGCCGCAGGGACCAGAAGCAUGGGCUCUGCAAGUGGCCUCUGGGGCGGCGGUGAGAGGGGCCGGUUCCCAGGCGCGUCCGGUCAUUGGGACGGUACACCCGCACCCUGGAGCCGAGCCCAGCCCCACAGGGUGGCGCCUUGGCUGGCCCUUGAGUAGUUUCCGUGGUCUCAGUUCUUGCCACGAGUCACUCGUGAGGCUAAGGACGGUGGGACUCUGCGUGGGUGAGCCCAGCGCUACAGCAGCCCCGAAACAGUGGGUGACAGAGGCGGGGGACAGGGCAGGCCAGCCGCGGCUGGCACCCCAGUCAGCCGUGCAGUGCUCAGCCCUGCCCGCCAGGGCACCGGGCCUCCUGGAACCACUCUGCCCCCAGUGGUGGGUGGAGUCCUCGAGAGAAAGUCCACACCAGGGUAGCAUCAGGCCUCUGGGCAGGCUGGUCCCAGCCCCUUCGGCUUGAGAGGGAGCCCUGCUGUUGGGCCGGUGCUCACCUGCAGCCCGCCAUCACGCCCUCUGGCAUGGAGAACAGGGAGGGAGGGAGCUGGGCUCCACCAGGCGUGCCACCUGCCCACCUGGCUGUCCUCUGGUGGGCAUUGACAGGACACCCUGAGAUGUAUCCACUGUCCCAAAGGCUCCCAUUGUCAUUUCUUUCCCAAACCUCUGUGACCCUCAUCUUCCGGCAUUGCUGCUUCUUGGCAUCUGACCCUCAGGCAGAGCCACCUGCCACUGCCCAGAGUCCUUUCAUUGUGUGGCCUCCAGCCAUGUCCCCACACAAAAUGAAAGACAAGAUGUCCCUCCCUACUCCUACCCAGUGGAGGUCCCCCUCGCCCCAGCCUCUGGGCACCCUGAAUUGGGACGCAGCUCACACUGUUGUAUCAAGUGAGCCACUCGGGAAACAGACCCACGAUGCCCUCCCCAUCACCAGUCCUAGGGGACACCCCGGAGGGCCCAGGUGUCUGUUGAGAGAGGAAGUGGAGGUGACAGGAGGGGCCGGAGCACCAUCUGUGUGACUCACUGGUGCCUCUGACCUGCUGGGGCGGCAGACUGCUGGGGUCCCGCCAACCGGGACGCAGCGGGUAGGACACACCAUCUCGGGCGGGGCGGCUCAACCACCAAGUCACCUGCUACUCCACGGGGCUCUCACCCACCAGGACCCAGUGGUGUCCCAGGGGCUGCUUUCAAACAGGUCUGGCUCCCUGGUGCAGGAAGGGUGGCAGCGUCUAAGUCCCCAGGUCAGAGGCUGCUUUCCUGUCGGGGCCUUUGCCACCAAUCAGGGAGCUGGUUCAAUGCCACCAUCCAACCGUGGCACUGGCCACCUGAGGACGGUCACUCUGGGGCCCCAGUGACAGCAGUGCCAAUCGCUCAUGCAGCCCUCUGCCUCAGUGAGGGGUGCCUUGUGGGGAGCACUGACCGCACCUCCUUGAGCCUCUGCCCCUUUCCAGCACGUGGCCACAGGGCCCUCUGGAGCGUCUCCUCGCACUGCAGGGCAGCCCGGAUGACCAUCAGCAGUUUACCCGCCUCAGUGUCCCACCUGUUGCUUCUCUCCCGCAGGGCUGCAGAGUGUGACAUAGGUGACAUGAGGUGACAUUCACCACCCCAAGCCUCAGGCCUUUUAUCCAUCACCCAGUUAGGCCCCUCGUCCCCCAGCCCCAGACAAUCACUACCCCACUUUUUGAACAACGCCUGCAACAGCACCACGCAGCCCUGACCUUUUGUGUCUGGCUGCUUUCUCUGAGCAUGAUGUUUUUGAGGUUCAACCGCAGGGCGACAUGCGGCAGUGCUUCAUUCCUUUUUAUGGCCGAAUACUAUUCCACUGCAGGAGAGACCUGCUUUAUUUAUCCAUUCUUUCGUAGGUGACAUUUGGGCCACGUCCACAUUUUGGAUAUUGUGAUGCUGCCACUGUCCAAGUUUUCCUGUGGACCGUUUGCAAUGUUCUAGGAAUGGAAUCGCUGGCCCUACAGGAGUUCAGUGCUCGGUGCGUUCCGCAGGGGCUGAUCAUCUGGCACUCCCACCAGCGCUGGGAGAGAGGCCCCCUCCAGCCCCACCAGCACUUGCUCUUCUGACGUUUUGAGUCUAGCUACGCCGUGGUGUGAAGUGGCACCUCGCUGCUGUUGGGGUUGUGUCUUCACAGUGCUGGACUCCUUUUUAGCACAAUACCUGCUCUCAAGUCAGUAGUAGAACGCCCAUCCUCCAAGACUACAGAGUAGCUUUAGUCAAAUAAUGACAUCAUCUAGGACUGCUACUCAGCUUCUCACUGCUCUGACCAAAAGCUGACCAGAACAACUGAGAGGAGGAGAGAUGUCUUUAUUUUGGCUGACGGUUUCAGAGGGUUCUGUCCAUGGUCAGCCAGCUUUAGAUCAGAAAAUUGAUGGUGGAAGGCCUGGCGGCUGCCAGAAGCCAAAAAGAAAAGGGGAGGGCCAGGGGGCAGAUCAACCCUCCGGCAUGCCCACAUGACCUACUUCCUCCAACCAGGGCCCACCGUCCAGUCGCCUGUCCAGCCAGACUGAACCUGGUGCUCAGUGCGUGUGUGGCUGUAUCCCCAGCCAUGGGCUCAAACCCCAAGGAGAACUCAACAACAACAACAAAAUGCACCUGACCAUUAUUUCUCAAAGACCAUGGAGAGAAGGGUAAAGCGCGAGCUAGCCCAUAGUGGAUGAGGGUCAGCCUCACUCCACCUUCGCCCCCCAUGAUGGGCCUGGCUUCAGGGCCGGGCUCAGGCUCAGAUCCCUAUGAGUCUGACCCGGGUGGUCCCAGGACAGGCUGGGUACCCUCCCUGAAGCCCACCUGCUGUGCCCUGCCUGAGCCACCCCUCUCACAUGAACCAGAGAAAUGUCUCGUCACCACGGCUUGGGACCAGGGUCGCCAUAGCUGAUCAUUUCUUUCAAAAGCCUGGAACCAUCGAUAGCAAACGCACAGGGAGGGAGGUCAGCUCCGGGGGCCCUGGAGAAAGCCCUCAGGAAGCACCCGGACCCAGCCCCACCGCCCUGGCGCCUUGCGGCUGUGCUUUUGCUGGCCUGGGCUGAGAGCCGCUGGGACAGUCGGUCUCACAGCAAGGAGGAGCAGGGGCCUGUUCUUGGUGCCCCGUUGGGUUCCUGCCAGGAAGCCACUGAGGGUGGAGACUGUAAGCCUGUCCUGCAGCCUCCCCGGGGCCUCCUGCCACCUGGUUGGAGCCACUGAGGUUCACACAACCCAUUUAGAGGGUGACCCCAAGUGAUGGCCAUUUAAAAAUGCAUGAGGCAGCUCCUGCCAGUUCCUCUGCUUUGGGAGGAUUGAUCCUGGGCUGUCCAACAGGGCUCAGGAAGCCCUGGCUCAGUCCCUGCUUCUGGCACUACCCACCUUCCCUUUGCCUCCAGGGGCAGGAGCUGCUCUCCUGAGCCUAAUCAUGGGUCUUACCAAUUUCACGACUUCUCCGCCGAGUGGGGCUCAGGGUCUCCAUGUGUCCUGCGGGAUCAAGAACUGACCCUCGUCUGCACUGGCCAGGGCUGUGGUUGGCCAGUGCCCGGCUCUGAGUGCAGAAGGUGCCUCAGGAACCCCGUGGGUGCCCUUCCCAGCUCUGNCCUCCAGCCCCACCAGCACUUGCUCUUCUGACGUUUUGAGUCUAGCUACGCCGUGGUGUGAAGUGGCACCUCGCUGCUGUUGGGGUUGUGUCUUCACAGUGCUGGACUCCUUUUUAGCACAAUACCUGCUCUCAAGUCAGUAGUAGAACGCCCAUCCUCCAAGACUACAGAGUAGCUUUAGUCAAAUAAUGACAUCAUCUAGGACUGCUACUCAGCUUCUCACUGCUCUGACCAAAAGCUGACCAGAACAACUGAGAGGAGGAGAGAUGUCUUUAUUUUGGCUGACGGUUUCAGAGGGUUCUGUCCAUGGUCAGCCAGCUUUAGAUCAGAAAAUUGAUGGUGGAAGGCCUGGCGGCUGCCAGAAGCCAAAAAGAAAAGGGGAGGGCCAGGGGGCAGAUCAACCCUCCGGCAUGCCCACAUGACCUACUUCCUCCAACCAGGGCCCACCGUCCAGUCGCCUGUCCAGCCAGACUGAACCUGGUGCUCAGUGCGUGUGUGGCUAUAUCCCCAGCCAUGGGCUCAAACCCCAAGGAGAACUCAACAACAACAACAAAAUGCACCUGACCAUUAUUUCUCAAAGACCAUGGAGAGAAGGGUAAAGCGCGAGCUAGCCCAUAGUGGAUGAGGGUCAGCCUCACUCCACCUUCGCCCCCCAUGAUGGGCCUGGCUUCAGGGCCGGGCUCAGGCUCAGAUCCCUAUGAGUCUGACCCGGGUGGUCCCAGGACAGGCUGGGUACCCUCCCUGAAGCCCACCUGCUGUGCCCUGCCUGAGCCACCCCUCUCACAUGAACCAGAGAAAUGUCUCGUCACCACGGCUUGGGACCAGGGUCGCCAUAGCUGAUCAUUUCUUUCAAAAGCCUGGAACCAUCGAUAGCAAACGCACAGGGAGGGAGGUCAGCUCCGGGGGCCCUGGAGAAAGCCCUCAGGAAGCACCCGGACCCAGCCCCACCGCCCUGGCGCCUUGCGGCUGUGCUUUUGCUGGCCUGGGCUGAGAGCCGCUGGGACAGUCGGUCUCACAGCAAGGAGGAGCAGGGGCCUGUUCUUGGUGCCCCGUUGGGUUCCUGCCAGGAAGCCACUGAGGGUGGAGACUGUAAGCCUGUCCUGCAGCCUCCCCGGGGCCUCCUGCCACCUGGCUGGAGCCACUGAGGUUCACACAACCCAUUUAGAGGGUGACCCCAAGUGAUGGCCAUUUAAAAAUGCAUGAGGCAGCUCCUGCCAGUUCCUCUGCUUUGG